AGAGAGAGACAUGCGCGCAUAUCAAUAAGCGGAGGAAAAGAAACUAACAAGGAUUCCCUUAGUAACGGCGAGUGAAGCGGGAAGAGCUCAAAUUUGAAAUCUUCAAGGUUUUACCUUGACGAAUUGUAGUUUAAAGAAGUGUUUUCUGCUGAAGUUUUGGUAAAAGUUCUUUGGAAUAGGACAUCAUAGAGGGUGAGAAUCCCGUAUUUGACCAUUAUUUUCAGCUUUGUGAUACACUUUCAAAGAGUCGGAUUGUUUGGGAAUGCAGUCCAAAAUGGGUGGUAAAUUUCAUCUAAAGCUAAAUAUUGGCGAGAGACCGAUAGCGAACAAGUACCGUGAGGGAAAGAUGAAAAGAACUUUGAAAAGAGAGUUAAACAGUACGUGAAAUUGUCAAAAGGGAAGCGUUUGACACCAGUGUUGUUUUCUCGAAAAUCAAUUAAAAAUGGCUCGAUUUCGUAUUGCUGAGACCUUAAAAGCUCACUGUACAUUUUUCGUGUCUUUUUUAAUGCACUUUUCGUUUAACAAGUCAACAUUCAGUUUCUUUUGUUGUAAAAGGGUCAUUGGAAGGUGGCUUUCUUUUCGGAGAAAGUGUUUAUAGCCUUUGGCCUCUGCAAUCGGAAGAGACUGAGGUCUGCAGCGUAGACUCUUCGGGGUUAGAUACAUUUGUGCUAAGUUAUAGCUUUUUAUAGACAACUUGUUGACUAUAAUUAGUCUUGUAGCUUACUCGCUUAUGCUAUUUUACCUACGCUUAGGAUGUUGAGUCGUAGAGCACGCAG
rnacentral:rRNA from 1 species